rnacentral:lncRNA from 1 species
CCCACCUCGGCCUCCAAAAGUGCUGGGAUUACAGGCGUGAGCCACUGUGCCUGGCCAGGAUUCCACUUUUGGUGACUAAUUAGCAACAGCUCCAAUCAUCAUGCUCUCUCAAGACAAUAUUUGAAGGCUGGAAGGGCUGCUUUUGUUCACCUGUUUCUUUUAAAUAGGGAGAAAACUUAUGAGAAAAUCAAAGCCCGUAUCAUCUGCUUCACGUCCCGCAUUUACUUAACGCUACCAGGCCUUCUUUUUCUUGAAGUGCUCUUUGAGCCUAUGUGGUUCCAGCAUGAGUCUCCUUGGGGGAUAUGUUAGGGGAUGCUGUCAGAACAACUACUUCUUGAGAAGUCCAAGGAACCGGCAGAAACCUUUACCAAAAAGAUGAUCAACUCAGAUACUGCUGCAGUGCAAAAGGACAGGCAAGGAGAAAGUUCUCCCUCUCUUUCCACGGUCUCCCUCUCAUGCGGAGCCAAAGCUGGACUGUACUGCUGCCAUCUCGGCUCACUGCAACCUCCCUGCCUGAUUCUCCUGCCUCAGCCUGCCGAGUGCCUGCGAUUGCAGGCACGCGCCGCCACGCCUGACUGGUUUUGGUGGAGACGGGGUUUUGCUGUGUUGGCCGGGCCAGUCUCCAGCCCCUAACCGCGAGUGAUCUGCCAGCCUCGGCCUCCCGAGGUGCCGGGAUUGCAGACGGAGUCUCAUUCACUCAGUGCUCAAUGGUGCCCAGGCUGGAGUGCAGUGGCCUGAUCUCAGCUCGCUACAACCUACACCUCCCAGCCGCCUGCCUUGGCCUCCCAAAGUGCCGAGAUUGCAGCCUCUGCCCGGCCGCCACCCCGUCUGGGAAGUGAGGAGUGUCUCUGCCUGGCCAACCAUCGUCUGGGAUGUGAGGAGCCCCUCUGCCUGGCUGCCCAGUCUGGAAAGUGAGGAGCGUCUCUGCCCGGCCGCCAUCCCAUCUAGGAAGUGAGGAGCACCUCUUCCCGGCCGUCAUCACAUCUAGGAAGUGAGGAGCGUCUCUGCCCGGCCGCCCAUCGUCUGAGAUGUGGGGAGCGCCUCUGCCCCACUGCCCCGUCUGGGAUGUGAGGAGCGCCUCUGCCCGGCCACGACCCCGUCUGGGAGGUGAGGAGCGUCUCUGCCCGGCCGCCCCAUCUGAGAAGUGAGGAGACCCUCUGCCUGGCAACCACCCCGUCUGAGAAGUGAGGAGCCCCUCCGCCCGGCAGCUGCCCCGUCUGAGAAGUGAGGAGCCUCUCCGCCCGGCAGCCACCCCAUCUGGGAAGUGAGGAGCGUCUCCGCCUGGCCAGCCGCCCUGUCCGGGAGGGAGGUGGGGGGGUCAGCCCCCCGCCCGGCCAGCCGCCCCGUCUGGGAGGUGAGGGGCACCUCUGCCCGGCCACCCCUACUGGGAAGUGAAGAGCCCCUCUGCCCAGCAAGACGCCCCGUCCGGGAGGGAGGUGGGGGGGUCAGCCCCCUGCCCGGCCAGCUGCCCCAUCCGGGAGGGAGGUGGGGGGGUCAGCCCCCCACCCGGCCAGCCGCCCUGUCCAGGAGGGAGGUGGGGGGGUCAGCCCCCCGCCCGGCCAGCCGCCCCAUCCGGGAGGUGAGGGGUGCCUCUGCCCGGCCGCCCCUACUGGGAAGUGAGGAGCCCCUCUGCCCGGCCAGCCGCCCUGUCCGGGAGGGAGGUGGGGGGUCAGCCCCCCGCCCGGCCAGCCGCCCCGUCCGGGAGGUGAGGGGCGCCUCUGCCCGGCCGCCCCUACUGGGAAGUGAGGAGCCCCUCUGCCCAGCCACCACCCCGUCUGGGAGGUGUGCCCAACAGCUCAUUGAGAACGGGCCAGGAUGACAAUGGCGGCUUUGUGGAAUAGAAAGGCAGGAAAGGUGGGGAAAAGAUUGAGAAAUCGGAUGG